rnacentral:rRNA from 1 species
UACGUAGGGGGCAAGCGUUGUCCGGAUUUAUUGGGCGUAAAGCGCUCGCAGGUGGUUCGUUGCGUCGUGCGUGAAAGACCCCGGCUCAACUGGGGAGGGUCGUGCGAUACGGGCGGACUGGAGGCCAGUAGGGGGAUGCGGAAUUCCGGGUGUAGUGGUGGAAUGCGUAGAUAUCGAGAGGAACACCUGCGGCGAAGGCGGGUUGCUGGGCUGACACUGACGCUGAGGCGCGAAAGCCAGGGGAGCGAACGGG